AGAGUUUGAUCAUGGCUCAGGACGAACGCUGGCGGCGUGCCUAAUACAUGCAAGUCGAGCGGACGAUUCAAAAGCUUGCUUUUGAACCGUUAGCGGCGGACGGGUGAGUAACACGUGGGCAACCUGCCCUGUAGACGGGGAUAACACCGAGAAAUCGGUGCUAAUACCGGAUAACACGAAAUGUCGCAUGACGUUUCGUUGAAAGACGGCGCAAGCUGUCGCUACAGGAUGGGCCCGCGGCGCAUUAGCUAGUUGGUGAGGUAACGGCUCACCAAGGCGACGAUGCGUAGCCGACCUGAGAGGGCGAUCGGCCACACUGGGACUGAGACACGGCCCAGACUCCUACGGGAGGCAGCAGUAGGGAAUCUUCCGCAAUGGACGAAAGUCUGACGGAGCAACGCCGCGUGAGCGAAGAAGGCCUUCGGGUCGUAAAGCUCUGUUGUUAGGGAAGAACAAGUAACGCAGUAACUGGCGUUACCGUGACGGUACCUAACGAGAAAGCCACGGCUAACUACGUGCCAGCAGCCGCGGUAAUACGUAGGUGGCAAGCGUUGUCCGGAAUUAUUGGGCGUAAAGCGCGCGCAGGCGGUUCCUUAAGUCUGAUGUGAAAGCCCACGGCUCAACCGUGGAGGGUCAUUGGAAACUGGGGGACUUGAGUGCAGAAGAGGAGAGUGGAAUUCCACGUGUAGCGGUGAAAUGCGUAGAGAUGUGGAGGAACACCAGUGGCGAAGGCGGCUCUCUGGUCUGUAACUGACGCUGAGGCGCGAAAGCGUGGGGAGCAAACAGGAUUAGAUACCCUG
rnacentral:rRNA from 1 species